GACGAACGCUGGCGGCGUGCCUAAUACAUGCAAGUUGAGCGAUGAAGCUUGGUGCUUGCACCAAUUUGAAGAGCAGCGAACGGGUGAGUAACGCGUGGGGAAUCUGCCUUUGAGCGGGGGACAACAUUUGGAAACGAAUGCUAAUACCGCAUAACAACUUUAAACAUAAGUUUUAAGUUUGAAAGAUGCAAUUGCAUCACUCAAAGAUGAUCCCGCGUUGUAUUAGCUAGUUGGUGAGGUAAAGGCUCACCAAGGCGAUGAUACAUAGCCGACCUGAGAGGGUGAUCGGCCACAUUGGGACUGAGACACGGCCCAAACUCCUACGGGAGGCAGCAGUAGGGAAUCUUCGGCAAUGGACGAAAGUCUGACCGAGCAACGCCGCGUGAGUGAAGAAGGGUUUCGGAUCGUAAAACUCGGUUGGUAGAGAAGAACGUUGGUGAGAGUGGAAAGCUCAUCAAGUGACGGUAACUACCCAGAAAGGGACGGCUAACUACGUG
rnacentral:rRNA from 1 species